UGGCUGCGACCGCGCAGAGGCUCCUGCCAGUCCUCCCACCGACUACACCCCGGGAAGGAGGAGCUUCGGGCGCGCACAAGGCGUCAGAAUCCUCAAUUUCCAACUUAGCAUCUUGGCAGGACCUUUGCGAAGCCAAAAGCAGAGCCCCCCGGUGCAAAGAGAAAGCAGCCAGGGAGGGGAGGGGGAAAAGCCAAGCUCGAGCCAGCGAGGCGCGCAGAGGAGCGGGCGCGGCAGUCGCAGCCGGAGGCGCGCGGGAAGCCAGCGAGGAGGCGCCGCGGGCCGAAGCCCGGGAGUCCGGGCUCGAAGAGCGGCGGUCCGGGGCAGCCAGAGUCCAGGUGCCCGCCCGCUCGCCCUCGUAGGGCGCCGCCCGGCUCGUUGGCGGCCGCGGCGCGGCGCGCCCCAUGCCCGUGUGUGGCCAUGUCCUACCCGCAGGGCUACUUGUAUCAGCCGUCCGCCUCGCUGGCGCUCUACUCGUGCCCGGCGUACAGCACCAGCGUCAUCUCGGGGCCCCGCACGGAUGAGCUUGGCCGCUCGUCCUCCGGCUCUGCGUUCUCCCCCUACGCCGGCUCCACCGCCUUCACGGCGCCUUCGCCGGGCUACAACUCGCACCUCCAGUACGGCGCCGACCCCGCGGCAGCCGCCGCCGCAGCCUUCUCCUCGUACGUGGGCUCUCCCUAUGACCACACACCCGGCAUGGCGGGCUCCUUGGGGUACCACCCAUAUGCAGCGCCUCUGGGCUCAUACCCGUAUGGGGACCCCGCAUAUCGGAAGAACGCCACCAGGGAUGCUACGGCCACGCUCAAGGCUUGGCUCAACGAGCACCGCAAAAACCCCUACCCCACCAAGGGCGAAAAGAUCAUGCUGGCCAUCAUCACCAAGAUGACCCUCACCCAGGUGUCUACCUGGUUCGCCAAUGCGCGCCGGCGCCUCAAGAAGGAGAACAAGAUGACGUGGACGCCGCGGAACCGCAGCGAGGAUGAGGAGGAAGAGGAGAACAUUGACCUGGAAAAGAAUGACGAGGAUGAGCCCCAGAAGCCUGAGGAUAAGAGCGACCCCGAGGGCACUGAAGCAGGCGGAGCAGAGCAGAAGGCGGCUUCGGGCUGUGAAAGGCUGCAGGGGCCUCCCACUCCCGCCGGCAAGGAGACUGAAGGCAGCCUCAGCGACUCCGAUUUUAAGGAGCCGCCUUCGGAGGGCCGCCAAGACCCGCUGCCCGGGCCCCCUCGAGCCGGGGUGCCCUCCCCGGUCGGGCCUGCGGCGGCGCGGCUCACGGAGGACCCGGCCCCUCACUAUCCCGCGGGUGCGCCGCCACCCGGCCCGCACCCCUCUGCGGGAGAGCUGCCCCCCGGUCCCGGCGGGCCCUCGGUCAUCCACUCGCCGCCACCGCCUCCGCCGCCGGCGGUGCUCGCCAAGCCCAAACUGUGGUCUCUGGCCGAGAUCGCCACAUCCUCGGACAAAGUCAAGGACGGGGGCGGCGGGAGCGAGGGAUCGCCGUGCCCGCCGUGCCCCGGCCCUGUAGCGGGGCAAGCGCUGGGAGGGAGUCGCGCGUCGCCCGCCCCGGCGCCUUCGCGCUCGCCCUCGGCGCAGUGUCCUUUCCCAGGCGGGACGGUGCUGUCCCGGCCCCUCUACUACACUGCACCCUUCUAUCCCGGCUACACGAACUAUGGAUCCUUCGGACACCUUCAUGGCCACCCGGGGCCCGGGCCAGGCCCCACUACGGGUCCUGGCUCUCAUUUCAAUGGAUUAAACCAGACCGUGUUGAAUCGAGCGGACGCUUUGGCUAAAGACCCGAAAAUGUUGCGGAGCCAGUCUCAGCUAGACCUCUGCAAAGACUCUCCCUAUGAAUUGAAGAAAGGUAUGUCCGACAUUUAACGCGGGCUGCGCCGGUCCCGGACUUUGUAAUUUAUUAAAAACAUGGCCUUGGCAGUUAUUUUUCCAUCAUCGAGAGAGAGAGAGAGACAGACAGACAGAGACAGAGAAAGACAGAGAGAAAAAUAAUAAACGACCCUUACUAUUCAAAAGUUUAUAGUUUAUGGAGAUGGAUGACAUAAAAAUGUAAACAUCUCCACACAAAAAAUGUCUUAACCAACCGAAAAGAAAAAAAAACUAAAAAAAAAGAUUUGUAUUAAAUCUUAUUCUGUAUAUUUAAUGUAGCAUUUUUGUAUUUAAAUUGAUAAUUCAAUAUCUUUGAAGUAAAUUAUGAAAUCAAGACACCUGUACAGGCAUUUAAUUUUUUUGUAAUAUAAAUAUAUACAUUUGUGUUUCCCUCAAAACUGUUUCAUAGUUUAAAAAUACAAGUUUAAUUUAAUUUUUUACACCUAUUGAUUUUUGGGGGGGUAUGAACUAUAAAGUAUUAUUGCAGAAAGGAAACAGGUUAUACUCUUAGAUUUAAAAAGUAAAGGAAACUGCAGCCGCCUUUGUAAAAUGCAAAAUAUUUAAUUAAAAGAGAUUUUAACAUAAUCAGAGCCACUUAUUACUUUUUAGAAGCUUCAAUAAACUGUCCAUUGCCUUGGUCAAAAGGUGCAAAUGCAACUUUUUUUGAGGUGGGGAAUGAAAGGUUCCAUCAACUCUCACUGUGCCAGGGGAAAACCAUAAUUAGGCUAGAAGCCCCAGGGAACCCAGCCCUGCCUGGGAAUUCGGAUUUGGAUCACUGAUGAGGGCCACUUGGGGGGACAUUGGACCCUGGAGAAAGGAGAAGAAAGACCCAAGCCUGUGCCCAGAAGGGAGAAAAGAUGGCAAAGCAAGCUAGAGACACGCACUACUCAAGUGCCAUCGCUUAACCUAAUUACUUCCAAUCAGUGUCGUGUUUUAUGCAAAGCAAUCAGCUGGUGAACUUUGCUAAUGAGUUCGAUUUUAUGCCGGAUUUAGCCCUUAUUACUAUUUCAAAGGUGCUGCUGGCUGAUGCAGGCGGGGAGCGUUAGGGGAUGCCAAGGGGAAGCCUUUCCCAAGUCACUGUCUUCUCUACCCCUUCAAAAUUGGGCAUUGAUCUCUUCUUUGGAUUUGAUUAAAUUAGUGAACGAUCCAUCCAAGACCGCCCGGGUGGCGGGAGGCCCUGUAGAUGCCUGAGCAGCCUCCAGUGAGGGGACGGUUCCCCCCUUUCACAGAUGAUGAAGACUCCAUCAGCCUGGGUCCCAGAUUGAAGACAACAUGGAGUGGAGACCUCUGCUGACCUGUGAUGGAGAUGUAUCCGUGAGCAGGAAAUAAACCUUUGUUGCAUUAAA